GAUGAACGCUAGCGGCAGGCUUAAUACAUGCAAGUCGUGGGGCAGCAUGAGUAGCAAUACUUGAUGGCGACCGGCAAACGGGUGCGGAACACGUACACAACCUUCCGAUAAGUGGGGAAUAGCCCAGAGAAAUUUGGAUUAAUACCCCGUAACAUAUAGAGUAGGCAUCUUCUUUAUAUUAUAGCUUCGGCGCUUAUUGAUGGGUGUGCGUCUGAUUAGGUAGUUGGCGGGGUAACGGCCCACCAAGCCUACGAUCAGUAGCUGAUGUGAGAGCAUGAUCAGCCACACGGGCACUGAGACACGGGCCCGACUCCUACGGGAGGCAGCAGUAAGGAAUAUUGGACAAUGGGUGAAAGCCUGAUCCAGCCAUGCCGCGUGAAGGAUUAAGGUCCUCUGGAUUGUAAACUUCUUUUAUUUGGGACGAAAAAAGGGAAUUCUUUCCCACCUGACGGUACCAAGUGAAUAAGCACCGGCUAACUCCGUGCCAGCCGCCGCAGUAA
rnacentral:rRNA from 1 species